rnacentral:rRNA from 1 species
UGGGGAAUCUUGGACAAUGGGGGCAACCCUGAUCCAGCCAUGCCGCGUGAGUGAUGAAGGCCUUAGGGUCGUAAAACUCUUUCGCUAGGGAAGAUAAUGACGGUACCUAGUAAAGAAGUCCCGGCUAACUCCGUGCCAGCAGCCGCGGUAAUACGGAGGGGGUUAGCGUUGUUCGGAAUUACUGGGCGUAAAGCGCACGUAGGCGGACCAGAAAGUUGGGGGUGAAAUCCCGGGGGCUCAACCCCGGAACUGCCUCCAAAACUAUUGGUCUAGAGUUCGAGAGAGGUGAGUGGAAUUCCAAGUGUAGAGGUGAAAUUCGUAGAUAUUUGGAGGAACACCAGUGGCGAAGGCGGCUCACUGGCUCGAUACUGACGCUGAGGUGCGAAAGUGUGGGGAGCAAACAGGAUUAG